CACGUAGGACGCAAGCGUUAUCCGGAAUUACUGGGCGUAAAGGGCGUGUAGGCGGCACGGUAAGUCAACCGUGAAAGCUCCCGGCUAAACUGGGAGAGGUCGGAUGAGACUGCCGAGCUAGAGGGUCGUAGAGGGGUGUGGAAUUCCGGGUGUAGUGGUGAAAUGCGUAGAGAUCCGGAGGAACACCAGUGGCGAAGGCGACACGCUGGGCCUGGCCUGACGCUCAGACGCGAAAGCAUGGGGAGCGAAC
rnacentral:rRNA from 1 species